GACGAACGCUGGCGGCGUGCUUAACACAUGCAAGUCGAACGGAAAGGCCCUGCUUUUGUGGGGUGCUCGAGUGGCGAACGGGUGAGUAACACGUGAGUAACCUGCCCUUGACUUUGGGAUAACUUCAGGAAACUGGGGCUAAUACCGGAUAGGAGCUCCUGCUGCAUGGUGGGGGUUGGAAAGUUUCGGCGGUUGGGGAUGGACUCGCGGCUUAUCAGCUUGUUGGUGGGGUAGUGGCUUACCAAGGCUUUGACGGGUAGCCGGCCUGAGAGGGUGACCGGCCACAUUGGGACUGAGAUACGGCCCAGACUCCUACGGGAGGCAGCAGUGGGGAAUAUUGCACAAUGGGCGGAAGCCUGAUGCAGCAACGCCGCGUGCGGGAUGACGGCCUUCGGGUUGUAAACCGCUUUCGCCUGUGACGAAGCGUGAGUGCCGGUAAUGGGUAAAGAAGCACCGGCUAACUACGUGC
rnacentral:rRNA from 1 species